rnacentral:lncRNA from 11 species
GAUGUUGUUUUGCAUAUUUUAAUAAGCUGCUCCAGCUCGGGUGGAAACAUUUGCCAACAGUGAAUUCUGUUUGUCGGCAAUAAUAACAGACAGUCCUUUUGAACCAACACAAUCUCAGCAGGUUGAAUGACCUGCUGCAAGAAGAGAUAUCUUUGCAAAUGAGGAACAGCUGGGAAGUGCAAAAAAAAUCUCAUUCCUUGGAAACUGUGAGCCAAAUUUUCAUCCAGAGGUUCAAGCUUAGGCUCAUUCUAAUUAUCUCUGCUAAUUACGCUACAGAGAAACUGACUUGGCAGAGAAGCUGCUCAGCAGGAAUUUUCUUCCUUCCCUACCACUCACUUUGAUGAAUCACAAAAAUUCUUUUCUGACCAGGCAGCAUUUGGAGAAGGAAUUCACAUCGUCAGUAGGAGAUGCUGCGAAAGAACAUGGUGACAUUCUACAU